GAUGAACGCUGGCGGCGUGCCUAAUACAUGCAAGUCGAGCGAACAGAUGAGGAGCUUGCUCCUCUGACGUUAGCGGCGGACGGGUGAGUAACACGUGGAUAACCUACCUAUAAGACUGGGAUAACUUCGGGAAACCGGAGCUAAUACCGGAUAAUAUAUUGAACCGCAUGGUUCAAUAGUGAAAGACGGUUUUGCUGUCACUUAUAGAUGGAUCCGCGCCGCAUUAGCUAGUUGGUAAGGUAACGGCUUACCAAGGCAACGAUGCGUAGCCGACCUGAGAGGGGGAUAGGCCACACUGGAACUGAGACACGGUCCAGACUCCUACGGGAGGCAGCAAUAGGGAAUCUUCCGCAAUGGGCGAAAGCAUGACGGAGCAACGCCGCGUGAGUGAUGAAGGUCUUCGGAUCGUAAAACUCUGUUAUUAGGGAAGAACAAAUGUGUAAGUAACUAUGCACGUCUUGACGGUACCUAAUCAGAAAGCCACGGCUAACUACGUG
rnacentral:rRNA from 1 species